UGAGGAAUAUUGGGCAAUGCCCGCAAGGGUGACCCAGCAACGCCGCGUGGAGGAUGAAGGUCGUAAGAUUGUAAACUCCUGUUAGAAGGGAAGAAUAUCCGGGAUUGAAUCCCGGUUUGACUGUACCUUCAGAGAAAGCCCCGGCUAACUACGUGCCAGCAGCCGCGGUAAUACGUAGGGGGCAAGCGUUGUCCGGAUUUACUGGGUGUAAAGGGCGCGUAGGCGGGCUCGUAAGGCAGAGGUGAAAUCCUGCAGCUUAACUGCAGAACUGCCUUUGAUACUGCGAGGCUUGAGUUCAGAAGAGAGAGAUGGAAUUCCAGGUGUAGUGGUGAAAUACGUAGAUAUCUGGAAGAACACCAGUUGCGAAGGCGAUCUCUUGGUCUGACACUGACGCUGAGGCGCGAAAGCGUGGGGAGCAAACA
rnacentral:rRNA from 1 species